rnacentral:tRNA from 1 species
UACCUUUUUUUGAUACACCUUGUAUAAAUGAUAAGUAGCACUUAGAUAAUCAGCCAAUGAAAUAACGAGAACUUAAAGAGGUGUACUGGAAAUGUUAAUUUGAUCUUGUUUCGAGAGACUUCUUUUCGUUUUCCGCAUUCAUAACGUAUAAAUGCUAACAUCUUCUUGUCUCAAACAGUUUGAAGUCGGUUUCGUCGAUCAAAAAAAAUGUUUCCAAAGUGUUUUCAUUUUGUGAUGUUGGUUGUCGUUUCCCUACAAUUGAAAGGUAAGCGUUUCAUGGUUUACAAAGUUAAUAAAAGAAUUCAUUUAUUAACUUUGCCAUCAUCCGUAUAUAUACUGACUUUCGAUGCACCGAUAUCGGCCUAUCUGUACUAAAAUAGAACAAUAUCGGUAUCGGUAAUUUUGUUGUUGAUAUUACCGAUAUUAUACAAACUAUUAUUAAAUAUUAAUGAUUGGUUAUAGUUGCAGUUCAAUAGUUAUUUUUAUUACAAAUAAACAGUCACUGGCGUGGUAAUACACUAUAGUUUGUUGCAUUCAUUUGGCAUCAUUUCAUUUGAUAUUUUCAGUAUUUUUUCACUAAUAGCUACUAAUACAAAUGAAUUGAAUUCAAUUCAAUUCAAAAGUAUUAAAGUAGAACUGUCAUGAUGUCAUCUCUGAAAUGAUAUAUAUAAUAUCGGUAUCGGCAAAAUAUCGGCCCUUCAAUAUCGGUGCAUCACUAACUGACUUAUAUACUGGGAAACCACAAGGCACAACAGAUAUUGCCAAUUGCUGUGGCCAUGCACGGAAACAAUCUACAAAGUACAGUUAUUACACACACAAUAAACAUUAAAUUACUUGGACAAUAGUCAUUACAGAAAGUCUAGAAACACUGAUGCCAAAGGGGGUUCGUCACAUUGCAAUUGCGAGGAUCCCCGACCUCAACGUCGUAUAUAUUUUCUAAUGAUAGAAUGUAUUAAUGGAAAAGUAGUUUCUUGAGUUCUGUAAAUGUUUCGUUUUUGAAUAUAAUGUAAUGAGGUAGUGUACUCCAUAUCAGUCUUGUUGCUGGGAUUGUGUAUGAUUUUGAUAGGCUCGGACAUGCUAAAUGCUGGUAUUCGAUAUUUGUAUGCGAGUUGGGAUCAGCUGAUCUUGUCUUUGUGGUAGAAGAGUUAAAAGAUUUUUUCUCAAUAAUAAAUAUACCGUGAUUUACCGUAUAGAAAAAUAUCAUGACCAGAUAUAUUCGUGCCAGUUAGGGACACGCACAUGGCCGAGAGCCCGAGACACGCCGGACGUGAUUCGACAAUGCGGCGCGAUUUUUCGACCUCCACUGACCGAUAACUUUGAUCCUGAUUUGAUUUUACAAUCUUAAGAAGCGUUAGAACAGUUUGAGUUAUUUAAUGGUCUACAUAUCUUUUAAAAUUUUCUUUCAUUGGUUGUUUUAUUAACCUUCAAAAACUGAAAAAUCGUGCCGCGUUGUCGAACCGCGUCCGGUGUGUCUGGGCAGUUUAUGCCGGAAUUUCUUUUAGAAAACAGGGUUUUUUUUUAAACCAGGGAUAAUAAGGAGACGUUCCGGUAUGACGUCAUCGUGCCAACGGAAAUUCCGUAAUUAGCAUAUGCGUCAUCCGCCUACAUUAUGGCGUCAUACUUGUGUAUCUAUUACCGAACAGACAACGGCAAAAUCUUAUCUAUUUUUUAAAUAUCGUAAGGCUGGCAACUUUUUGCUAAAAUACAUUUACACACACUAAUACAUUCGCUUGAAACAACAAACUUAAAAAGCAAGAAAGGAACAUUGGGCCCGCGGUAAUUGGCAAUAAGCUGUUUGUUAUGCUUGUGAUGUUACUCUGAGUGUAUAUCCACACCGGGCAAGCUUGAAAAAUAUGCCUGACCACGGUGGGAAUCGAACCUACGAACUGACCAGACCGCGUAGCUCAGUUGGCAGAGCAUUGGGCUAGUAUUCCAAAGGUCGUAGGUUCGAUUCCCACCGUGGUCAGGCAUAUUUUUCAAGCUUGCCCGGUGUGGAUAUACACUCAGAGUAACAUCACAAGCAUCAUAUUCACCUGAGUACAUUACACCAACACAAAAAAAAUCAAGCUGUUUGUUAUUGUAAUUUUAUGCGGGCAAAGUUAAUAAAUUAAAAUACAAAACGCCUUAGAGUUUUUUUCUAACUUUAUAUAUUGAUAAAUCUGAAAAUUCAGAAGAAAGUUUAUUGACUGCAGUAGUUUAUAUCGGAAUUUUCCGUUUUUUCAGCAACCGAUAAGCGAUAAGCCGCCGGAUAAAUUCACUUUUUAUUGAAGCAAAUUUAAGUAAUCAUGAUAUUUUUCUGUGUUGGUGUAAUGUACUUAGGUGAAUAUGAUGCUUGUGAUGUUACUCUGAGUGUAUAUCCGCACCGGGCAAGCUUGAAAAAUAUGCCUGACCACGGUGGGAAUCGAACUUACGACCUUUGAAAUACUAGCCCAAUGCUGUGCCAACUGUACGCGAGUACAUAAACACCAACACAGAAUUUUUUUUAUGAUUACUAGAUGACAUCGAUAUCGAAGGAUCUAGACUCAGUUCCGAAAUAUCACAUACUCGAACCGACCGACCGCGUAGCUCAGUUGGCAGAGCAUUGGGCUAGUAUUCCAAAGGUCGUAGGUUCGAUUCCCACCGUGGCCAGGCAUAUUUUUCAAGCUUGCCCGGUGCGGAUAGGCCGGAUAUACACUCAGAGUAACAUCAUAAGCGUCAAAUUUAAGUAGCUUUAAUUAAGAGACCAUCACAUUAUUUCUGUAUUCAAUUUAAUUUUUGUAUUUUUUUUCAGGGACAGCUUGUUUCUUCGUCAAAGACGUCACGCCAAUUUCGCAGUUUGAACGACGUCAUAUAGGCUCACUAGCCCUGGUAGCUAAAUGUAUUAACGACACAGGUCAAAUACAGUCAAACGGGAGUUGGGGAAACUUGUCUUUUCUGAAACUUUCCUACUACAGCUGUUUGGAUCCAGCUGCUCAGUUUCGGUUUCGUGAUAAUGGUGCCAUGUUAAAUCUAAAAAGACAGGGAUGUCUCGCUGCUCUUCAUAGGAACGGUUCUGGUUAUGAUCUUGAUAUGUUUUAUCUUUACGUUGACUCAGCCAGUUUAGACACAGCUGCCUGUGCUCAGAAGCCUAACGAGAGCAUCUAUCGUGCUAUAACCCAGACCCCAGAGGGAGCAUUAUCUGUUUAUUAUAAAGGGAAAGAUAAGAGUUCAUUUCAAACCUGGUGUGCAUAUUAUUCAUCUAAUUCACAACUUUAUAGAAAUUAUGGAAUAUCUGGCUACAUGGCAUUGUCGACACCAUGUCAUCCCCCCACUCAUUAUAGGCCUAUUAAGAAAUUCGGUUUCGGU